rnacentral:rRNA from 1 species
CGCGCAGGCGGCCAGGUCAGUCGAAUGUGAAAGCCCCCGGCUCAACUGGGGAAGGUCGUUCGAUACUGCCUGGCUCGAAGAUAGGAGAGGGAAGUGGAAUUUCAGGUGUAGUGGUGAAAUGCGUAGAUAUCUGAAGGAACACCAGUGGCGAAGGCGACUUUCUGGCCUAUUCUUGACGCUGAGGCACGAAAGCUAGGGGAGCGAACG